CCUUCCCCAGAGGCAGGCUGUGGGGUAGGAGGAAAACUUGGGACAUUGAUGGAGGAUAGUAGGCACUGGUGAAAAGGUUGGAGUUGGUACAAUUUACACCUGAAAUUCAACCAUAAAUACCUUUGUAAUUUUGCAAUUCCCAGUGAUUCUGUAGAAAAUAAAACGGGAAAAAGUAUUAAGAAGAAAAAAAGAAUUAAGCAAGAGAGAGAUUAUGCCUAAAAAUUGGUUGUGAGAGAAUCAGUGUGCUAAAGUUGAGUGCAUCUGACACUUGGGAGAAUAAAAUGAAUCCAAAUUUUGAGAUUUUGUUGAUUUUUGUUGCUGUUUGUUUGUUUGUUUUGGGGCCACACCCAGUGAUGUUCAGGAGUUACUCUAGUCUCUGCACUCAGGAAUCACUCCUGGUGGUGCUGAGGGGAUGAUAUAGAAUGCCAGAAAUGGAACCAGGGUAUGCUGCAUACAAGUACAGAGCUAGACUGUCCUUCCAUAGCACCCGACAGCUGGAUGAAAAGUCAAAAACUAAGCUGAUCUGCCAGAUGGUGUGUCUACUCUAAAUCUAACAUCUGGAUAUUUUUUAAACAUUUAGAUGAUUGGAUGGAUGUAAUGGUGUCAUUUUAUCUCCACCCAGGAACUUGUGUCAACAGCUCCCUCCACGGACCAUUCACUAGAGUUGCAAUGUCACAGUGUCAGAAUCUGGUCAGAAAGGAAACCUUUGGCACAGCUGACUCGAGUGUGCUCAGCACCGGACUCAUGGCAGAUGCCAAUAAGAUCAUGGUGAUUUUGAAGCUAAGAGGAUCUUUGCAACUUGUAUGAAUGUAGUCUCUUGCCCCUGUACCUGGAUGUCUUCAUUGGGGCCCCUUGGAGCAGGGUAGGUUGAAUUUCCCUCCGCACUGCGAGCAGAGGCUGGCAACCGAAGACCUCCGGAAUCCAGCCACAGCCAUGCUCAAGGCCCCUCUCCACACAUUUGGCUGAGCCUCACACAUGAAGAAACCGGCAGAAGGGCAGAAGAACCCAGGUGUGUGGGGACCUCGGGCUGAGAUCCCCAAGCCUGCUCAGAACAGGACUGGCCUCUUCCAUCCAGAACCCCCAUUUUCCAGUAGCUUGACAGCCACACCCAAAAACUGCCCCUGGCACCAUGUAAUCCCAUCAAUGGCCAAGAUCCAGAGACUAAAACCAAGCUCCUGGAAGUGGCAUCUUAUAGCCUAGUUCUCCCUCUGGGAGAACCUGGCAAGGUACCAAGAGCAUCCUGCCAGCAGGGCAGAGCCUGGCAAGCUCUUCGUGGUGAAUUCAAUAUGCCAAAUAUAAUAACAAUGAUGGGUAUCAUUCCCCUGACCCUGAAAGAGCCUCCAAUGCUGCACCACUGGGAAGAAUGAGUAAAGAGAGGCUGCUAAAAUCUCAGGGCUAGGAUGAAUGGAGACAUUACUAGUACCCGCUCAAGCAAAUUGAUAAUCAAUUGGAUGACAGUGAUACAGUGAUAUACAGUGAUUUGUUAACUGGGGGUUUGAAAAGGACAACUGUUCCUUUUUUUGGGGGGAGUCACACCUGGCGAUGCACAGGGGUUACUCCUGGCUCUGCACUCACGAACCACUCCUAGCCGUGCUCAGUGGACCAUAUGGGAUGCUGGGAAUCCAACCCGGGUUGGCUGCAUGCAAGGCAAACACCCUACCCACUGUACUAUCGCUCCAGCUCAACAACUGUUACUUUAAUAUAUUUUCUUCCUGAGUAAAAUAUAAAGGUACUCUCUUUGGGAAAAUAAACAAUUAUAACAUGAAGUAGUCAUUUUUAACAUCUAUUGCUUUAAAAUAAUUGGGGCUCAUAUAAUAUACAUGUAAACAAUCUUAAAUAUAAUAUAUAUAAGCAAACUUAAAAAGAGUUAUCAUUAUAUGACUAUACAUAUUAUAUAGUUUUUCUUGGAAAGUGUUG